AGUCUUGGACAGACCAACUUUUACCUCAAUAAGUAAAUAGAAUCCAGAAAAAUACUGAAAGAGUAAUAUGCCACACCAAGUGCUUUAUCCCAAGAAUUCAAGGAUGGUUCAAUAUUAGGAAAUCUGUUGAUAUAAUGUACCUACUGAAAUGUUAAAGGAAAAAAUAUGAUACAAUCUUCAUAGAUAAUGAAAAGUAUUGGUAAAACUCAACAUCCAAAAUCUAUUCUUGAUUUUUAAAAUACUUAAUAAUUUAGAAAAAGUUUAUUUGGUAAGAAGAUUCUCUUUAAUAGUGGCUGAGGUGGGGCUCGGACUGCCCUGCCUGACGCCAACGCUGUGCAAGAAAGGCCAGCUCUCCAUUACACCUGUUCCCAGGGUGUGGCCAC
rnacentral:lncRNA from 10 species